rnacentral:lncRNA from 1 species
CGCAAUUCGUCGAUUUCAAUCCCAAGGUGCACCUUGCUUUUUUUUUUUUUACAUAUUUAUUCAAAAAGAGUUCUAUGUUUUGACUGAAGUUAGAUAAUAGAGUUAUUUUUUUUAUGUAUUCUUUUUUUCUUAUAAAUUUUUUAAAGAGUUUUUCAAUGAAUCAGUUACGUGAAUUCUGAAUCCUGAGAUUGUGCAGAUGCCAAAGACGAUGAAUUUAGUUCUUUUGAUCUUUCUCUAUUGUUCAUACCACCUAUA